UCGAGCCGGAUGCGGGGAAACUCGCACGUCCGGUUCCUAGGGGGCCCCUAUCCCGAAAGGGAUGGGGGCCACCCUAC
rnacentral:ncRNA from 1 species